UACAGAGGUCUCGAGCGUUAGGCGGAAUCACUGGGCUUAAAGCGUGUGUAGGCGGAUGCCUAAGUACCUUGUGAAAUCCCACGGCUUAACCGUGGAACUGCUUGGUAUACUGGGUGUCUUGAGCCACUCAGGGGCGAGCGGAACAAAUGGUGGAGCGGUGAAAUGCGUAGAUAUCAUUUGGAACGCCAAUGGUGAAAACAGCUCGCUGGGGCUGCGCUGACGCUGAGACACGAAAGCCAGGGGAGCGAACGGG
rnacentral:rRNA from 1 species